rnacentral:rRNA from 1 species
CCCUUAGAUGUUCUGGGCUGCACGCGCGCUACACUGAUGCGCUCAACGAGUUUUAACCUUGCCUGGAAAGGUUGGGUAAUCUUUUUAAAACGCAUCGUGAUGGGGAUAGAUUAUUGCAAUUAUUAAUCUUCAACGAGGAAUUCCUAGUAAGCGCGAGUCAUCAGCUCGUGCUGAUUACGUCCCUGCCCUUUGUACACACCGCCCGUCGCUACUACCGAUUGGAUGGUUUAGCGAGAACUUUGGACCGGAGCUCGGGUGGUCAGCAAUGGCCGCCCGAGACAUACUGGGAAAUCACUCCAGCUUGAUCAUCUAGAGGAAGUAAAAGUCGUAACA